AAGAACUUUAUGGAAGGGUUGAGAACCACUGUUCUAGAAGAACCUGGGGCUCUUGGGGUAUCUCUACAGAGCUCUGGAACUGCCCUGAAGAAGCUCCAGAGAGAGGUCCUAGCUUGUCUUUUCUGUUCUUCCCCUGUGCUGUGUGACAUUGAAUGAGUCCUCUCCCCACUCUGGACCUUCAAGUCUCGUCUGCAGGAGGCAGGCCUGGAGGAUAGCGCUCAUCAAGUGCCUCCUCCCAGCUGCCGCCCUCCUCCCACCAGCUAUAUUCGGGUUUCUGCUCCGUCCUUGGUAACCUUGUGCAUCACUUAGAGCACUGCGUGUGCUUUUCUCUGCCAAGGAACUCUGGAUACAAAGGAACCGCAGAGGUCAAGCAUCUGCCCGCAUCCAAACCCUUCCUCACACCUGAAAUCAAGACCCCUUUUCCUGUGUGCCAAGCCCAAGGUGAUCUGGUCUCAACUACAAGGGCAGGAUGCUUGCUGCCCACUCAGCCUGCAUGGACACAUGGUAGCUUUCCCUAAGCCCAGCUUCUUCCAGAAAGACAGAGGCCGCUGGAGACUCACCGUGCUCCCUUAGCAUGGAUUCCCUGAGAGUGCUCUGUCUGAGUCUAGUCUGCAAGAAGAGGGCCCCUCACAUCUUCCUUGGGCAUCUUUUGGACUUGAUGUUCUUGGGAUGAGCAGGACGGGACCAAGCAUCACCCUUGACUUGCAUCACAACUGGUACCAAGAUACUCAUCCCUGCCCCUUCUGCAGCCACUGUGCUGGGGAGCAGUAGGGUCUAGAAACAUCUUCCCUAUUUGCACUGGAUACUGCCAUGGCCUCUCCCUGCUCUGGAGACACACGGCCCUCAGGAAGCACUGAAAGAAGUAAUGAGACAGAGCGGCAAGACACUUGACAGCAGCCAGCCCUCCCAGCCUGAGGGCAUUCCCUGCCCUGUCCAGCAUCUGCUUCUGCAUCCUGAGCAAUGCACACUCCCUCUGCAGAAGGACCCAACAAAUCAAGGUGCAAUUCCACAGCAGUUCAGAGAGAACCAGAGUAUAUUUGGCCUAUAUACAGAGCAACCCGUGAGGGAUUACAGGAAUAUCAACAGUCAACAAGCCCGGCCAUAGUGAGAGUUUUCAAGAGACCCAGCAGACCUGAAGAAGGCGGCGGCUUGGCUCCGAGGAUAGCCCUGCACAGCACUCCGAUCCUUUUGCCUCCUGCUCCUGUAUCCUUUCCACCCCUCCUUUCUGCAGGGGUCCGUGGUCCUUGGAGGGAGUAAUAAAGAUGUCUGACUGUUCUCCAACUCCAGCAAAGUACAGAAACAGAUUGACAGAGAAGAGACUGAGGAAGGAGGGACCGGAUGAGAGAGUGCUCUGUCGUUUCAUCCCCUCCUCUGUGGACUGGGACUGUGGCCACUAGAAGACGAGAUUG
rnacentral:lncRNA from 1 species